GCUCCAUUGGCGCAGUUGGUUAGCGCGUGAGUCUAAUAAACUCAAGGUCAUCAGUUCGAGCCUGGUAUGGAGCA
rfam:Salpingoeca sp. ATCC 50818 unplaced genomic scaffold supercont1.1, whole genome shotgun sequence.